UUAUAUGCCCGAAAGAAUUUCGGACAUAUUAUGUUAUACCCCCUGGCGUCCGUCCGUCUGUCUGUCUGUCCAUCCGUCCGUCUGUCCGUCCGUCCGUUAGCAAUUUGGUUUCCGGAGCAUAACUUAAGUUCCAUUUGGCCCACAAUAUUCAAACUUCAUAGGAUGAUUGUCCAUAUUGAGUAGAAGACCUCUAUUGAUUUUGGGGUCAUAAGGUCAAAGGUCAAGGUCACUAUGACCUUAAAACUGAAAACGUUAGCAAUUUGGUUUCCGGAGCAUAACUUAAGUUCCAUUUGGCCCACAAUAUUCAAACUUCAUAGGAUGAUUGUCCAUAUUGGGUAGAAGACCCCUAUUGAUUUUGGGGUCAUAAGGUCAAAGGUCAAGGUCACUAUGACCUUAAAACUGAAAACAGUUUCCGGAGCAUAACUUAAGUUCCAUUUGGCACACAGUGUUCAAACUUCAUAGGAUGAUUGACAAUAUUGGGUAGAAGACCCCUAUUGAUUUUGGGUUCACAAGGUCAAAGGUCAAGGUCACUAUUACCUUAGAACUGAAAACAGUUUCCGGAGCAUAACUUAAGUUCUAUUUGGCCCACAGUGUUCAAACUUCAUAGGAUUAUUGUCCAUAUUGGGUAGAAGACCCCUAUUGAUUUUGGGGUCACAAGGUCAAAGGUCAAGGUCACUAUUACUUAGAAAUUGAAAACAGUUUCUUGAGCAUAACUUUAGUUCCAUUUAGCCCACAAUAUUCAAACUUCAUAGGAUGAUUGUCCAUAUUGGGUAGAAGACCCCUAUUGAUUUUGGGGUCACAAGGUCAAGGCCACUAUUACCUUAAAACUGAAAACAGUUUUCGGAAUAUA